rnacentral:rRNA from 1 species
UACGAAGGGGGCUAGCGUUGUUCGGAAUCACUGGGCGUAAAGGGCGCGUAGGCGGCCGAUCAAGUCGGGGGUGAAAGCCUGUGGCUCAACCACAGAAUUGCCUUCGAUACUGUUUGGCUUGAGACCGGAAGAGGUAAGUGGAACUGCGAGUGUAGAGGUGAAAUUCGUAGAUAUUCGCAAGAACACCAGUGGCGAAGGCGGCUCACUGGCCCGAUACUGACGCUGAGGCACGAAAGCGUGGGGAGCAAACAGG